rnacentral:tRNA from 1 species
GCCUGGGUGGCUCAGUCGGUUAAGCAUCUGACUUCGGCUCAGGUCGUGAUCUCACGGUUCAUGGGUUUGAGCCCCACCUCAGGCU